rnacentral:tRNA from 1 species
GUCCGCAUAGUUUAACCAAAACACUAGACUGUGAACCUAGAAAUAGAAAAAUUCUUGCGAACC